rnacentral:rRNA from 1 species
GAUGAACGCUGGCGGCGUGCCUAAUACAUGCAAGUCGAGCGAACAGAUGAGGAGCUUGCUCCUCUGACGUUAGCGGCGGACGGGUGAGUAACACGUGGAUAACCUACCUAUAAGACUGGGAUAACUUCGGGAAACCGGAGCUAAUACCGGAUAAUAUAUUGAACCGCAUGGUUCAAUAGUGAAAGACGGUUUUGCUGUCACUUAUAGAUGGAUCCGCGCCGCAUUAGCUAGUUGGUAAGGUAACGGCUUACCAAGGCAACGAUGCGUAGCCGACCUGAGAGGGUGAUCGGCCACACUGGAACUGAGACACGGUCCAGACGCCUACGGGAGGCAGCAGUAGGGAAUCUUCCGCAAGGGGCGAAAGCCUGACGGAGCAACGCCGCGUGAGUGAUGAAGGUCUGCGGAUCGUAAAACGCUGUUAUUAGGGAAGAACAAAUGUGUAAGUAACUAUGCACGUCUUGACGGUACCGAAUCAGAAAGCCACGGCUAACUACGU